AAUAUCCUGAGGAACUGGGGGAGGAGCCACCCAGCAUCAGGUCAAAUGUGGCAGCUCCUUCUACCACCAUGGUAAGUGACAUUUAUUUAUCUGCUGAAAAAAUAGCCUCAUUUCCUGCUUUUCAAACAAAUGCAAAUAUGGAAGUCUACAGUGUUCCGAGCAAUGGCAGCAUCAGUUACAACAUGUAUGUUUGGUUGUGAGAAUUUUCUCAGAGACUAGGGUUUUGUAAUUUUUGGUCAUAAAAUUGAGUGGAGAGGUCUUCUGGGAAAAGUUGAAGCGUUUCUCACAGAUGACCUCUUUAUUUUCCUUGGGAACAUGGGCUCAGGGACAGUUUCCCAUUUGGCUUUCUGUGGACGGACAGACAGGGAAAUCCCUCGUGUCCACAGAGCCCGGGAAGCUUAGAUGCUCACCGUUGAGGAUGUCUUCUUCUCUCUAGGUCCUCGUGGAUGAGGGAACUGAUGAAAACGGUGUGUGUACAGAAAUCAUCACCCCAGUGACGAACAGUCAGGGUGAGAAGAAGAAGCUCCCCUACCCCAGGAACCACUGGAAGAAUUGCCUGCCUUUGAGGGAGAAGAAGAGGCUCUGUCUGACACUGAGGCACAAACAGUAGUCAUGCAAAGUUCUAUGUGUUAUGACAUCGACACUCCACCAAUGAACAAUCAGGUUUCUAUGUAUUAUGAGGUGAACACUCCACCAAUAAGCAAUCAGGUUGAAGAAGAUGGGAGAGCCACCGGAUUCCGGGUUCCUGGUGGGAAUGAGGGCUGGGGCUGUAGAGCAAGCGACUCUUGCCCAGUGAGGAGCAGUGCCAAGUACUGUGGUCCUGGAAGACACUACGUCACUGCAUCUCUGGGCAUGUGGGUGUCUAGGUGUGAGCCUAGGUGGUGCACUUGUGCAUAUGCAUGUGCGUGAUACGUGGUUCUUCAGGAUGGAUUUCCUGCUUACACAACGGUACACUCACCACCUUUCUUUAGGAAAAAAAAUCUCAUCACCUUUGCACAUCAUCUCUCCUGUCACACCUGCAUCCUUUACCACAGCCAUUCCCAGUUGGCUUACCAUUCCCGAUGUUCAGGCGGACAUGGUGCCGAGACAGCUGGCCCAAGCUCUCGACCCCCUAAGUGGAGAAGCCAAAGUGGGAACCAGGAUGCUGCUUCCAGGUUGGAAGAAACACUCUACCGAAGUCACCAGGAUCAAGCUCUGGCUGCAUCAGAAAGCUACGCUCCUGGUGCAGCAAGUGGGUGCACCCCACUGAUGGGUCAGAUGCGCAGUGUGAUUUCUCACCAUUGUACCACAGAGAAAUCCACGCCCGAAUGCUCCCUGGCCUGCUUCUCCCAGGAGUCCAAAGAUGGGCAGCACCCUAAAGGCUUUGAUGAAUGUGAUGACGAAUGAGAUGACUGGCCAGAUGAAAUGCAAAAGAUACUCCGAAUGAACUACUCUUCAGCCAGAGUGGAGUUAAAGCUCGAAAUAUGCUGGAGUAUGGGCGGACCAAAUAAUACAAAAUCUAUUGCAGUGAGUGAAGCAACACAGGCACAGCAAGGCAAAUACAGUAUAAAACUACUUGUGUAGGCAAGUUCACAUAGCAGAAGUAGAAAUUACCAAGGCCUGGCGGCAAGGGGAAGGUGAAUUAUGAUUUGAUUGGGCGUGAUGACAGAGGUGUGGGCAUAGGUAGGAUUGAUGGGUACAAAAGUGUGUGGAAGUCAAAAAGGCUAUGGAACUGUAUACUUAACAAUUAUGCAAAGCAUAAAUAUUAUAUCUGUGUCAUCUCACUAAAGGAAGUAAAAAAUAAUAAUCAGAAGAGAUGCUGAGCAAAAGCAGGGCAUGUGAAUGUGUGGGAGAUGAAAUGGUCUCAUAACGUUUCAAGAAGAAGUGGGACUCGCCAUGGGCGUUGAAGUAGGCUAGAGGAGUCACUGGACUCUGUCCUUGAAACAUAGCAUGAAUUAUUUGGGGUUUUUUUUAUGUUUUUAGGGCCACACCUGUGGCAUGUGGAAGUUCCCAGGGUAGGGAUUCAUUCAGCGCUUGUACCCCAGCCAUGGCAACAGCAGAUCCAGGUCACAUGUGCACACUACACUGCAGCGUGCAGCAACCCUGCAUUCUCAAACCACCGAGGGAAGCUAGGGAGUGAAUCUGCAUCCUUACAGAGACAGCUUUGGGUCCCUAACACACAGAGCAACAGCGUGAGGUCUCCAGAACAUGAAUUUGGAAUUUACCUUUUUUCAAAUUGCCUACAUUGAAUUGAUUAGGUUGGCUUUAGCCAGUAAGCUUAAAGCUCCCCUUCUCAUGAUGUCAGUGAACCUCCCCUUGGCAGCCUCAACCCGCCAGAGUGGUCUGCAAACAGCAUGAGGGCCCGUGUUUAACCAUCACCCACAUCCUUAUGCUCCCACCCUGUGUUCACCCACCACUCCCCAACAAUGCUGCCGGAAUAAUUCCUGAGCAGCAUUGCCAAUAUCAGGACCCUUACUCUGUGUGCUCCUGGGACACCUCCAGGAAAUUUUGGAGGAUCAGCCCAGCAUCACGGGAGAAGACACUCCAGCGGACUCCAUGGUAAGUGCCUUUUAUGAUCUGAGAUUAAUGUGUAGCUUCAUUUCCUCCUUGUUUUUAAGCAAAUGCAAAUAUGAAAGUCUAUACUGUUCAAAGUAUGGAGACAUACUUUUUUCCUGAGUUGGGUGAUUUUUGACUGAAUACCUUUCCCAAUGAAUGACUGAUUGAAAAGGACAUUUUCAAUACAACAGCAUCAGUUACCAGCUGCACAUGUGGUUGCGAGUAUUUUCUCCACAGAGAAUUACCCUCCUUGAAAGAGAAUUUUGUAGUUUUUGGUCAAAAUAGACUUGAGAUGUCUUCCAGGAAAUUUUGAAGCCUUUCUCACAGAUGACCUG
rnacentral:lncRNA from 9 species